rnacentral:rRNA from 1 species
UACAGAGGUCUCAAGCGUUGUUCGGAUUCAUUGGGCGUAAAGGGUGCGUAGGUGGUGCUGUAAGUCAGGUGUGAAAUCUCGGGGCUCAACCCCGAAACUGCAUUCGAUACUGCCGUGCUUGAGGACUGGAGAGGAGACUGGAAUUUACGGUGUAGCGGUGAAAUGCGUAGAUAUCGUAAGGAAGACCAGUGGCGAAGGCGGGUCUCUGGACAGUUCCUGACGCUGAGGCACGAAGGCCAGGGGAGCAAACGGG